rnacentral:rRNA from 1 species
UGGGGAAUAUUGGACAAUGGGCGAAAGCCUGAUCCAGCCAUGCCGCGUGAGUGACGAAGGCCUUAGGGUUGUAAAGCUCUUUUGGCGGGGAAGAUAAUGACGGUACCCGCAGAAUAAGCUCCGGCUAACUUCGUGCCAGCAGCCGCGGUAAUACGAAGGGAGCUAGCGUUGUUCGGAAUCACUGGGCGUAAAGCGCACGUAGGCGGAUUGUUUAGUCAGGGGUGAAAUCCCGGGGCUCAACCUCGGAACUGCCUUUGAUACUGCGGAUCUCGAGUCCGAUAGAGGUGAGUGGAAUUCCUAGUGUAGAGGUGAAAUUCGUAGAUAUUAGGAAGAACACCGGUGGCGAAGGCGGCUCACUGGAUCGGUACUGACGCUGAGGUGCGAAAGCGUGGGGAGCAAACAGGAUUAGAUACCCCCGGUAGUCCCUGAGCGGGCUGGCAAGGCGCAU